rnacentral:tRNA from 1 species
GCCAUUGUGAUGUAGUGGUUUGAGUGCUGGACUACAGCUCUGGAGAUCAGGGUUUGAAUCCCUGCUUGGCC